AUUGAACGCUGGCGGCAGGCCUAACACAUGCAAGUCGAGCGGAUGAGUGGAGCUUGCUCCAUGAUUCAGCGGCGGACGGGUGAGUAAUGCCUAGGAAUCUGCCUGGUAGUGGGGGACAACGUUUCGAAAGGAACGCUAAUACCGCAUACGUCCUACGGGAGAAAGCAGGGGACCUUCGGGCCUUGCGCUAUCAGAUGAGCCUAGGUCGGAUUAGCUAGUUGGUGAGGUAACGGCUCACCAAGGCGACGAUCCGUAACUGGUCUGAGAGGAUGAACAGUCACACUGGAACUGAGACACGGUCCAGACUCCUACGGGAGGCAGCAGUGGGGAAUAUUGGACAAUGGGCGAAAGCCUGAUCCAACCAUGCCGCGUGUGUGAAGAAGGUCUUCGGAUUGUAAAGCACUUUAAGUUGGGAGGAAGGGCAGUAAGUUAAUACCUUGCUGUUUUGACGUUACCGACAGAAUAAGCACCGGCUAACUUCGUGCCAGCAGCCGCCGUAA
rnacentral:rRNA from 1 species